rnacentral:rRNA from 1 species
GACGAACGCUGGCGGCGUGCUUUACACAUGCAAGUCGAACGAAAAGACGGAAAGAGCUUGCUCUUUUCAGAAUUGAGUGGCAAACGGGUGAGUAACACGUAAACAACCUGCCUUCAGGAUGGGGACAACAGACGGAAACGACUGCUAAUACCGAAUAAGUUCCAAGGGCCGCAUGGCCCAUGGAAGAAAAGGUGGCCUCUACCUGUAAGCUAUCGCCUGAAGAGGGGUUUGCGUCUGAUUAGCUGGUUGGAGGGGUAACGGCCCACCAAGGCGACGAUCAGUAGCCGGUCUGAGAGGAUGAACGGCCACACUGGAACUGAGACACGGUCCAGACUCCUACGGGAGGCAGCAGUGGGGAAUCUUCCGCAAUGGGCGAAAGCCUGACGGAGCAACGCCGCGUGAGUGAUGACGGCCUUCGGGUUGUAAAACUCUGUGAUCCGGGACGAAAAGGCAGAGUGCGAAGAACAAACUGCAUUGACGUACCGGAAAAGC